GUCAAACAUUGUUGUGAUUCUUUGUUGUGAUUCGUGUUGUGAUUAGUAAAAGAAGGUUAAAAGCGUUAAAAGUUUCUCUUUAUUUCUAAUCUUUAUGAGAAAUAUUGUAAAUAAUACUAAACGUUAAACAAUUUCUUAUAGCUUAAUAUAAAAUAUAAAUGACAACACGUGUCUGAAUAUAUGUUAAUAAAACGAAUUAAGUUCAAUAGGUGAUAAUUUUAUUUUAAGUCUAUGGUGAUAACUGAUCUGUAUUUGGUAUUUGGUGUUCUUCUGGUGUUCUUCAAGAUAACUCCUUAUAGCUGAACUGAACUUUUUCUCUUUCUGGUACUGCCCCUUUUUUUAUUAGGAACUAUGGAUAACAUAGACGAAGUAGAUUUAAAACCCCCAACAGAUACUGGUUUUAAUAAUGAAUUAUUCAGUGUGGAGCAUGUUAAACAAGAAAAUAAUGUUUUAGAAGAAAAUUUAAAUGAAGUAUCAUCAGAUAUUAAGUUGGAACCUGAUAUCCAAAUUUUUGAGUUUAUCAACAUCGAAGACAAUAAACAUGAAAAACAUAUCCAAACUAUGGUAGCAUCUGAAGAAAAUUUAGAAAUGGUGAAGGAAUCGAAUGAAUCAGAGAAAAAUGUCUAUAGAUGCUCCAUAUGUAGCUACCGAACGACACGUAAGUUCUGUCUUACCAACCACAAGAAAAGUCACUUGGCAUUGGAAGAACGACAGAUGUUUGCUUGUGCGCAUUGUGACAACAAAUAUAAAACAAGAGGCGGUUUACAAUACCACCUUGAUAAUAAUCAUAUUGAUUUUAGGACAAAGGAAUUGAAGAAACCGCAGGAAAAGAUCUACAGAUGUGCCAUAUGUUCCUACCGAACAGAACAUAAGUCAUGUCUUAAGCGACACGAGAAAAUUCACUUGGCGCCGGAAGAACGACAGUCGUUUGCUUGUGUGCUCUGUGACAAAAAAUAUCUGACAAAAGUGGGCUUAAAAGACCACUUUAAGGAUAAUCAUAUUGAUUCCAGCCCAAUAGAUACUGCUUAUAAUAAUGAAUUAUUCAGUGUGGAACAUGUUAAACAAGAAAAUGAUGUUUUAGAAGAAAAUUUAAAUGAUGUAUCAUCAGAUAUUAAGUUAGAACUCCCAACAGAUACUGCUUUUAAUAAUGAAUCAUUCAGUGUGGAACAUGUUAAACAAGAAAAUAAUGUUUUAGAAGAAAAUUUAAAUGGAGUAUCGUCAGAUAUUAAGUUAGAACCUCCAACAGAUACUGCUUUUAAUAAUGAAUCAUUCAGUGUGGAACAUGUUAAGCAAGAAAAUGAUGUUUUAGAAGAAAAUUUAAAUGGAAUAUCAUCAGAUAUUAAGUUAGAACCUGAUAUCCAAACUUUUGAGUUUAUCAACUACGAAGACAAUAAACAUGAAAAACAUAUCCAAGCUAUGGUAGCAUCUGAAGAUAAUUUAGAAAUGGCGAAGGCAUCGAACGAAUCGCAGAAAAAAGUCUAUAGAUGUUCCACGUGUAACUACAAAACGGCACGUAAGUUCUGUCUUACCAACCACAAGAAAAGUCACUUGGCAUUGGAAGAACGACAGAUGUUUGCUUGUGCGCAUUGUGACAGCAAAUAUAAAACAAGAGGCGGUUUACAAUACCACCUUGAUAAUAAUCAUAUUGAUCCCAGGACAAAGGAAUUGAAGAAACCACCGGAAAAGACCUACAGAUGUGCUGUAUGUCACUACCGAACAGAACAUAAGUCAUGUCUUUGGCAACACGAGAAAAUUCACUUGGCGCCGGGAGAACGAGAGUCGUUUGUUUGUGUGCUCUGUGACAAAAAAUACCUGACAAAAGGAGGCUUAAAAGACCACCUUAAGUAUUAUCAUAUUGAUUCCAAGACGAAAGAAUUGAAUAAAUCGAAAAAAAAGGUCUAUGGAUGUCCUACAUGUAGCCACCAAGCAGGAGAUAUGUCAGCCCUUAGGCGACACCAGGCAGUUCAUUUGACACCGGAAGAACGACAGAUGUAUGGUUGUGCGCACUGUGACAAAAAAUAUAUGUCUAAAAGUGACUUAAGACGUCACUUUGAGGCUAAACAUACCAGAUCAAAGGAAGUGCAGGAAAAGGUCUAUAAAUGUGGAAAAUGUCACUAUGAAACACUACGUAGAUCAUAUUUUACAAAACACGAGCAAGUUCACUUGGCACCGGAAGAACGACAGAUGUUUGCCUGUGAGCAGUGCGACAAGAAAUAUAUGUCAAAUUGUAGGUUACAAGAUCACGUUAAGCGUAAUCAUACUGAAUCCAGACUGAAAGAAUCGCAAAAAAAGUUCAGAUGUUCCAUAUGCAGCCACAAAUCACGAGAUAUGGCAAACAUUAGACGACACGAGAAAUGCUGAUUGUAUAUCUCCAGCUGAUGAAAAAUUCGUAAUUGAUGAAUACACUCCACAUUUGGAUGACUUUAGACAUGCUGAACGUUUACCGGUGACUAAUAAAGUAAAAUCGGAAGAUUUUUUAAAAAUAGAAAUUGAUGAUGA
rnacentral:misc_RNA from 1 species